GCCAGGCAUGAUGGUCCAUGCCUGUAGUCCCAGCUACUUGGGAGGCUGAGGCAAGAGGAUCACUUGAGCCCAGGAGGUCGAGGCUGCAGUGAGCUGUGAUCACACCACUGCACUCCAGCCUGGGUGACAGAGUGAGACUUCGUCUCAA
rnacentral:SRP_RNA from 1 species